rnacentral:rRNA from 1 species
GUGCAGCAGGCGCGAAACCUCCGCAAUGCACGCAAGUGCGACGGGGGAACCCCAAGUGCCACUCUUAACGGGGUGGCUUUUCAGAAGUGUAAAAAGCUUCUGGAAUAAGGGCUGGGCAAGACCGGUGCCAGCCGCCGCGGUAACACCGGCAGCUCAAGUGGUAGCCGCUUUUAUUGGGCCUAAAGCGUCCGUAGCCGGUCUGAUAAGUCUCUGGUGAAAUCCCACAGCUUAACUGUGGGAAUUGCUGGAGAUACUAUCAUGACUCGAGGUCGGGAGAGGCUGGAGGUACUCCCAGGGUAGGGGUGAAAUCCUGAAAUCCUGGGAGGACCACCUGUGGCGAAGGCGUCCAGCUGGAACGAACCUGACGGUGAGGGACGAAAGCCAGGGGCGCGAACCGGAUUAGAUACCCAUGUAGUCC